rnacentral:rRNA from 1 species
UACGGAGGGCGCAAGCGUUGUUCGGAAUCAUUGGGCGUAAAGCGCGUGCAGGCGGCUUGGUAAGUCGGGUGUGAAAUCCCGUGGCUCAACCCCGGAACUGCACCCGAUACUGCCUCGCUCGAGUCCCGGAGAGGAUGGCGGAAUUUCCGGUGUAGAGGUGAAAUUCGUAGAUAUCGGAAGGAACACCAGCGGCGAAGGCGGCCAUCUGGACGGUGACUGACGCUCAGACGCGAAACCGUGGGGAGCAAACAGG